UUGGAGGGCAAGUCUGGUGCCAGCAGCCGCGGUAAUUCCAGCUCCAAUAGCGUAUAUUAAAGUUGUUGCAGUUAAAAAGCUCGUAGUUGAAUUUCGGGGUUAGUAGGUUGGUCGUGCCUCUGGUAUGUACUGGUCUCACUGAUUCCUCCUUCCUGAUGAACCUUAAUGCCAUUAAUUUGGUGUUUUGGGGAAUUUGGACUGUUACUUUGAAAAAAUUAGAGUGUUUAAAGCAAGCUAACGCUUGAAUACAAUAGCAUGGAAUAAUGAAAUAGGACGUUCGAUCCUAUUUUGUUGGUUUCUAGGAUUGACGUAAUGAUUAAUAGGGAUAGUUGGGGGCAUUAGUAUUCAAUUGUCAGAGGUGAAAUUCUUGGAUUUAUUGAAGACUAACUACUGCGAAAGCAUUUGCCAAGGAUGUUUUCAUUAAUCAAGAACGAAAGUUAGGGGAUCGAAGACGAUCAGAUACCGUCGUAGUCUUAACCAUAAACUAUGCCGACUAGGGAUCGGAUGAUGUUAAUUUUUUAAUGACUCAUUUGGCGCCUUACGGGAAACCAAAGUGUUUGGGUUC
rnacentral:rRNA from 1 species